CCACCUCCUCCUCCUGCUCCUCCCCCCACCCCCACCCCCUUCUCAGCUGCGGCUAAAACCUGGAGUCUUGGGGAAAAAGGAAAAAAAAAAAAAAACUCAGCUGUGGAGCUGUCAAACCGGGCAUGCUCAGUA
rnacentral:sRNA from 1 species